rnacentral:piRNA from 1 species
UAGUCAGACAAUGUGUCCCACGAUGUCAGG